rnacentral:tRNA from 1 species
GGCGCAGUAGCCAAGUGGUAAGGCACCGGUCUGCAACACCGUUAUUCACCAGUUCAAAUCUGGUCUGCGCCU